GCCAGAUUUGUAUACUGUCCUAAAUAUUUUUAAGUAGAUUAGCUCAUUUGAGUCUUUCGGCAUUUUUAAAAAUUGAAUUAAGUAUUAUACACGAAGAUAACUAUUCCCCCUUCAGACGCUGUGGAUAAGAGUCAAUGGCUUGCGUUUCCAGGUCCUAGAGCAGUGAGCUAAAGAACUUGAAUUCAUUACAGCUUUUAUCUCAGUGGAGGAGUCAGGCAAGAAACAGAUAAAGAAAUAAAGGCAUAAUUUCGGAAAGUGGUAACUGCUCUAAAGAAAAAUAAAAGCAAGGAAGCUGGAAGCCGUGUUGUGAGCUGCCCUAUGGAGAGGCCCACAUAGCAAGGAACUGAGGAAGGUGUGCAGCCAACAGCCAGCAAGGAACUGAGGCCCUCAAUUCAAUAACCCAUGAGCACUUGAAUCCUGCUGAUGACCACCUGAGUGAAUGUGGAAGCAGCUCCUCCCUGAAUCCAGUCUGGAGAAGACCAGAGCCUUGUGAAAGCCCUGAGCCAGAGGCCUCAGCUCAGCCACAUCCAGAUCCCUGGCCCACAGAAACUAAAGAUAACAAAUGUAGGUUGUUUUAAGCCACUAAAUUUUCCUUUAUAAAAUAAGUAAUAUAAUAAUUGGUACCCUAUGUUUUUAACUAUGACCAUUGUCUAAAACAAAUCUUGAUAUCCAGAAGCACAUGAAGUUUGCAACUUUCCACCCUGCCCAUUUUUGUAAAACUGCAGUCAUUUUGGACGUUUUAAACACAAAUCUUAAACUCAACUAAGCUGUGAUACGUAGAAUGGUUACUGUUUAUACUGUGUGUUUUUGUUUUUUUAAGUUGGCACCUGAGCUAA